AUUUCAAAAAAAAAGAGACAUAGACUGAAUAGCUAAAAGGUAUUUGGUGCUGGGAUAAGUUUUGGAUGGUACACAAAAAAGAAUAAUUGCCUCCAUCCUAUCCUUCGGGAUCUGAAAAUCUAGCUGUGGAGACAGCUCAGCUUAUUUUUAAAAAGGCAAAUGUGCUCCAAUGUAUCGUAGGAACCAAGCGAGUGAACACCAGAGAGCUGGGGUAGUCACAGGGGGCCUCAAGGAGGUGGUGAGACUGAAGCAGCAGAACAGGAUUUGGAAGAAGGAUUUAGGAUUUGGAGGGCUUUUUAGGGGAGGGCCAAAGAGAGGACAGGUGUGCCCAGGCAUGCCCCGGGGGUGUGAGGGCAGCUGGAUCCCAGGGUGUCUGAGAGUGGUCACCUGAGGGCAUGCUCAUUGGUGGGUGUGGCCAUCACAGGACAUGGCUACAAGGGGCGUGACUAUCAAAAGCAGAGCCAUUCAAGGUCGUGCCCAUCUGUCGGCGAGGUCACCAGGGCCGUCUGUGGGCGUGGUCACCACAGGGCGUGGCUGCAAAGGGUGACAGAUGGUGGUCAUGGUCGGAUGAGUUGGGAGGCAGAGGGUGGGCUUGGGCCUGUUUGGGAAGCAGAGCUUGGAUGUCAUUCUCCAAGCCUCAGAGGCCAUUGGAGGUGUUGGGCAGGGAGGGUGCAUGGACAAAGAGGUGCUUGAGGAACAGUGAUCAGAUAUGUGCCAGCUUCAGCUGUCCUAGCGUCCCCAUCCCUAGGUAGGCACUGGGAAGAAGAAAGGCGUCUGGAAGUCCCAUCCAAAUCCCCCCGCCGCCCCCACCUCGCCUCUCUGGCUUCACUGUGAAGCGGGUCAACUUUUUCCAAGGGCAGGAGAAUGUGGUUCCCUGUUGCUUGAGGGGCUCUGCAGGCCGAAGGGCCUUGCUACAUUGUCCAGGUUGGUCUCGAACUCCUGAGGUCAAGUGAUCCUCCUGCCUCAGCCUCCCAAGUAGCUGGGAUUACAGGUGCACACCACCACAUCUGGCCCUCGUUACCUUCUGCCUAGACUGUUUGAUGAUUUCUCUGCUGGCUCCCCGUCUCACACUGUUGCUAGGACGUUUCUAGACCACAGUUCCGGUGCAUUCACGGAUGCCCUCAAGAACCUUCAACGGCUCCCACCUCCAGCAGGAAAUGAACUCAAGUGUUCAGAGCUCUCCUGACUCCCUGACUCGCUCAUGCGUCUAUUCACGGUCUGCUGUGCGGCGUGUCAGCCAGUGGCCUGCCUCCCCUUCCAGCCGUAGCCCACACCACUCUGAUGUGAUGGGACACCCCGUGGCCAGCUUCCCUGUGCCCUGAGCUUCUUCCUGGCCCCGGGCCGGCGACGCUCCUCCACCCUGCUGCAACCUGCAGAAAUCCUUCCAGGGGCCUCGUUCUAUAAAUUCUGUCUACAUGUCCCCAAGCAGCAGUGCCCCCCACCUCCAAAUGCCCUUGAUGCUCUGGGCUUGCCACUCCAUUUAACAGUGUCCUUCUCGGCUGUUUUCUCCGAAGCGGCUGGAGGGCAGAGUCUGUGUCUCAUUUGCCUGAGAUUUCCUCCCCUGCUGAGCUCAGGGCCUGCAAAUAUUUGCUGGGUAGACAUGGAUGGACAGCCUGACCAGGACGCCUCCUGCUCCCAGCACUGCCCCUCCCCGUCUGGGGUCCUCCUUCCGAGUCAUCUGGAUACGCCAGCAAGCCUAGAUUCUCAUCUGCCUGCCGGACUCCCCGGACUUUUUCAGAGAUCAUUGCAAAGCUCACCGCCAUAAAGCCAAUCUGCAAACACUUUUCUUGCUUCUUUUUUUAACCUCAAUUAAACACACUAAAAUACAUAAAUGAGUAAAUAAAUAAAUAACAGGACAACUUGGUGUGGUGUAAUUCAGGUUUGGUAAACAAUGAUGGUGUUCUCUUCUUACUCGCACCCCCUCCUCUGCCACCUCUCUCACGCUCUCCUGCUCUCUCCUGCCACCCUCCAGGUG
rnacentral:lncRNA from 1 species